rfam:Methylacidiphilum fumariolicum SolV, WGS project CAHT01000000 data, contig: 47-2114
GGACAGAUGCCGGAGUGGUUGAUCGGGCACGCCUGGAGAGCGUGUAGUCGGCUAAACCGACUCGAGGGUUCGAAUCCCUCUCUGUCCG